rnacentral:rRNA from 1 species
CCAGCAGCUGCGGUAAUUCCAGCUCCAAUAGCGUCUAUUAAAGUUGUUGCGGUUAAAAAGCUCGUAGCUGGAUCUCGGCGGCCAGGGGGUGGUUCGCUCUACGGCGUUACUGCCCCAUUUGGCCGUGUGAUUGGCGGAGGUUUCCGGGUGCUCUUCGCUGUGUGACCCGGGGCGCCGUCAGGUUUACUUUGAAAAAAUUAGAGUGCUCAAAGCAGGCUUUCACGCUUGAAUAUUCGUGCAUGGAAUAAUGGAAUAGGAACUCGUUUCUAUUUUGUUGGUUUUCGGAAAUCGAGUUAAUGAUUAAUAGGGACAAUUGGGGGCAUUAGUAUUCAAACGACAGAGGUGAAAUUCUUGGACCGUUUGAAGACAAACUACUGCGAAAGCAUUUGCCGAGAAUGUUUUCAUUAAUCAAGAACGAAAGU